UCGAUGGCUUGAGGAUCCCGACUCAGAUGAGACCAAGAAGUUUGUGGAAAAACAGGUGAAUCUAACGGACUCAAUUCUCAAGACUUGUGAGACAAGAGAAAAGCUAAGGGAAAAUAUAACGGAGUUGUAUGAUUUUCCUAAAUAUGAAGCUCCUUUUAGGGCAGGAGAUAAGUACUUUUACUUCCACAAUACAGGACUGCAACCCCAAAAAGUCCUUUAUGUGCAGGAUAGCUUGGAUGGAGAACCAGAGAUCUUGCUUGAUCCAAACACACUUAGUGAGGACGGGACAGUUGCACUGAGUAUUUGUUCCAUUAGCGAGGAUGCUAUGUUUUUGGCAUAUGGCAUUAGUUCGAGCGGUAGUGAUUGGGUGACUAUUAAAAUUAUGCAGGUUGUUGCUAAGAGCGUCGAGCCUGAUGUAUUGUCGUGGGUUAAGUUUUCUGAUGCUAGCUGGACCCAUGAUAGCAAAGGUUUUUUCUACAGCCGUUAUCCCGCACCCAAAGAUGGAGAAAGUUUGGAUGCUGGAACAGAGACACAUUCCAAUUUAUACCAUGAAGUGUAUUAUCACCGCUUGGGUACUGAUCAGUCUGAUGAUAUCUUGUGCUGGAAAGAUCCUGAAAAUCCGAAGUGUACGCGUUCAGCUUCAGUUACACAAGAUGGAAAGUAUGUUCUCCUGUAUACUUAUGAGAACUGUGAUCCAGUCAACCAAGUUUAUUACUGUGAUUUAUCUGCACUUCCUGAUUGGGUUGAAGGUUGUAAGGGGAGAAAUGAAUUGCUACCCUUUAUCAAGCUUGUUGAUAACUUUGUCGCCUCUUAUGAGUAUGUUGCAAAUGAUGGCUCUGCUCUCACUUUUCGGACCAAUAAGGAUGCUCCCAAGUAUAAGUUAGUCAGAGUAGAUCUGAAAGAGCCUGAUUCUUGGUCUGAUAUCAUCCAAGAAAAUGAAAAGGAUGUGCUCGAAUCAGCUGUUGUUGUCAAUAACAAUCAACUUGUUGUGAAUUAUCUGAGUGACGUGAAAAAUGUUUUGCAAUUGAGAGAUCUGAAAGCAGGAGCACUG
rnacentral:misc_RNA from 1 species